rnacentral:rRNA from 1 species
AUUGAACGCUGGCGGCAGGCUUAACACAUGCAAGUCGAGCGGUAACAGGCCUUCGGGUGCUGACGAGCGGCGGACGGGUGAGUAACGCGUAGAAAACUGCCCGGUAGUGGGGGAUAGCCCAGAGAAAUUUGGAAUAAUACCGCAUACGCUCUACGGAGGAAAGCGGGCUUCGGCUCGCGCUAUCGGAUGUGUCUGCGUGAGAUUAGCUAGUUGGUGAGGUAAUGGCUCACCAAGGCGACGAUCUCUAGCUGGUCUGAGAGGAUGAUCAGCCACACUGGGACUGAGACACGGCCCAGACUCCUACGGGAGGCAGCAGUGGGGAAUAUUGCACAAUGGGGGAAACCCUGAUGCAGCCAUGCCGCGUGUGUGAAGAAGGCCUUCGGGUUGUAAAGCACUUUCAGUGGGGAGGAAAAGUUAAUGGUU